ensembl:lncRNA
UUAACAUUCAUAAUAUUUCUACCUAACAGUCAUUGUCACAAAAAAUAUUUCAGUUCAUCUAAUAUCACAGCGAGUUUUGAAAACCAUGACAACAAUAUGACUCUGGAAGUACUUUGUCUGCUUGUACAAUAGUAAAGGGGAACCCUGUAAGUGCUAUAACGUGUAACAGUCUGUUUAUAUGUUACUGUUGAAAAAAUAUAUCAAUAUUUUGGUACUGGUUCUGACCUGGUUCCGGCUUGUUCGGGCCCCAUAUGGGGUGUGCUAUGCUCCAACCCGUUUGGGGUCCCCAAAGGGUUUAAAUUAUGCGUCCUGCUUUUAGCUUUGUUUUUGGUCUCCACCAACACUUUCAAAACUAAAACAAUGAGCUGAAAGACACUAAAAUGCAAAGUCGGAUUGUGACGUUGCUAAUAUAGAAAUGCCGAAGAGUGCAGCUUUAAGGUUCUCUUAUUUCUCUCUACAAUUUCUUACAGGUAAAAGACACAAUACGUCUUGAGCUCUAGAUAUUUGCAAAUUGAUCAACACAUCUUGACCAGAGUGAGAGGGAAUUAUGUUUUAUGUGACACAGAGCCUCACCUGGGUCUUGAAUCUGAAUCAGAUGCAACCGGACUCCAGAAGCAAGACUCGCGUCGGGAUCCCCGUAGUCGGGAGAUACGGGUGCCUUUGCUGUCCCAUAGGUUUGGCUGUCUGGCCGCCACGACACCUUUAUGACAGCAGUCUGAUCCCCGAGUGUUGAUGGAUGAUUCCUCUGCUGCCCCCGAUGCCUCCAGGAUUCCUUUAGGCCAGGGCUGUUUGGACAGGAGACACGGGAGGCCGACUGACGGGCCGGUCACAACGGCUGAAAGAGCUGUUUGAGUGAUGGAGAGGUUUGCCCGUCGCAGCAGAGCGCUAGAGCUUCUGAGUGCGGGAUUGGUUUACUACCAGGUCAAAAUCUACCGUUCGACGGGGCGAGCUGCUGCUGUGUCUGAUUGAUGCGUUUUUCUUUAUAUUUCUUUACUGUUGUACAGUUUUCUUGACGUGGUAUGGACUCUGAGGCAGUGCUGCGACAUCAAUAAGACUGAAUCAGGGAUCAGGUUCACAUUCCUUUAAUGUAACUUUGUGCCGAGUAAUCCGAGUGGCUUCUAUAUAAACAUCACACGCUAUCGACUUUUGGGGAGGAUUUCAGAUGGAUGGACACUUUCUCUUGGCAGAAUACAACUAGAGACGUGCAUCCAGCAGAGAGCAGAUCUCAACCAGUUAUGUUCGCUACAACCACUGCUGUAGUGUUUGAUGGAUUAAAAGCAAUGUGGAAUUCCAUUGGUUCCACCUUGAGACGAAGCCAAUGAGACUUUUCCAUUGAAUUUGGGGUUAUUCAGGAAAUCACAAAAAAACAAGCGUUUUUGAUACCUACAUGUUUUGUUCAGCAAGAUAAUCUUCACACAACCCCCAUCACGGUCUUGCAAGUGCUAAGGCUGACCCGUGUUGCGUUUCUGAAUUCCCUGAAGUGGUAUUUAAAGUUGUUUUUUUGUGUUUUCGCACUUCAUUAACAAUUGCACCAAACCAACAAUAGUGGUCACUCUUGGUUUUGCAGAAUCACGAGACACGCACUGAUCAUCAAUCCCCAGUCGCGGCCCUUCUCACCGCGCUUGUUCAGACAACAAAAGCCAAUUCCAAAAUAGCGCCUUGUUCGAUCCUCCAUCCUUGCUUUUCCUUCACAGCCUCGACACCUUUUAGACAUCUGCAUGUAGCGGUAAGGAACUUUCAUUGGAAUUUGUUGGACGCCAUCUUUGAAUGCUGCAUCUAGUUUUCAAUGCAAGCAUCCUAAAUACUGACUGUGCAGAUGUUAGCUGGAGCCAGCGCGACCUUGUUCCUUCUUUAACUCCAGCAGUUUUAGUUGCUUUACCUUAACACAAGUAAAGGCAGAUCUGUUUACAAAUGUCCUAUUUUUGUUCAGGUAUGAGAACCUAUUAGCAGAAGCCUGAAAGUGUCCUAACGCUGACCCGGCGAUGAGCGUUUUUUAUCCCCUGGUGGACGUCUUUGAAGCAGACAGCGAGGCCUCGUCCUCCGCCUCACACUGCGCUGAACAAGGCGCUCAGUGUUCGCGUCGCUCAGCCAGACAGGGUGAUUGAGUGGUCCGCCGUGUGAUGAUUCGCGGAGUCCGACUACUGCUGGAUUUCCAGGCUGCGCAACAUGCGGGAUGCGGCGGGUCAGGAGCACCAACCGGAGGGAGCCGUGGACCAGACUCCCAUGGCCCGAGGUUCUGAGGCUGGACGCGACGUCCAAAGGAGCCUUUUGCAGGAAGUCUCAGAUAAUUUAACGUUCUGCAGCUCCUCAACUUUGGCCCGUCUUGACUGAAUGUGCAAUGGAAAUAGAAGAUUUAUAACUCCUGCAGGAGUCACUAAUCACCGGAGACGAGGGGCUUUGGAGGGGGGAGGGGGUGGAAGAGCAGAGGCAGGCUUCAUGAGUGUCCAUGAGGGUCUGAGUGCUUCUGACUCGUCCCCCCCCCUUGCAGGUACACACACGCAAGCUAGCACACAUGCAAAAACACACAAACACGUGCUCCUUGUGCGUCUCCCUCAACACAACGGCCGUCUUGGGAGGAUG